rnacentral:rRNA from 1 species
AACCUAAAAAAUUUGGCGGUAUUUUAAAUAAUUGGAGGAACCUGUUAUUUAAAUGAUAUUCCACAACAUAUCUUACCUAAAUUUUGUUUGUAUAUCGUUGUUUACAGAUAAUAUUUUAAAAUUAUUAUCAAUUUUGGGUUAUUCUUUUAAAUCAAAUCAAGGUGCAGCAUAUUUAGGGUAUAAUGGGUUACAAUAUAAUUUAUAUACAUUGGAUAUAAAAAUUAAAUUAUUAUGGAAAUUGGAUCCAAAAGUAAAAUAAAAUUAAAAAGUUUAUUUGAUUAAAACUUUAAAAUAUGCACACAU